GGAUGGGGCACCACUCCUCCGAACACAGAGGUAGAAUGCAAGGGCAGGGACCCAAACCCCACAGGAGGUUUAACACACGGAGGAGCUGUCGUCUACAGGUCUACCAUAUGGAUGGGAAAAUGCUUACACAGCAGAAGGAGUCAAAUACUUCAUCAAUCAUGUGACGCAGACAACGUCGUGGACCCAUCCGGUGACCUGCAGCCUGGCUCUGGGGAUGGGGCUGCCCGAGAGAAAGGGUGGGGGGACCAGCCGAGGGACAGGCAGACAACACUGCCACCCCCAUCCCCGACCCCACCAAGAUCAAGACUUAGACCUGGGACAGAUUCAAUAGGGUAUAACAUUACAGAAUCUUUAGAUAGACGUGUAUUGCGAUGCAUAGACUAGAUAUCGUGUGUGUCUUGGAGUUGGAGAAUAGACAGGCCUGGCAGGCAUCCCUGUACAUAGAGAAGAAAAGAACACACCUGAAGGGUAUCCUACGAAGCAAGCUAGAUCUACUCCGGAUUGCUAACAGCUCAGGCUUCAUCUGUACUACCAUUGUGGAUACAAGGAUUUCGCUACACCCACAAUAACAUCGCUAAAUAUGUGUAUGUGACCAAUAAAAUGUAAUUUGAUAUUGCUCGUCUGCCUGCCGCUAACUCUAGCAGGCGUGUAACUGCGCGUGCAUGUCGCACAUGGCUAGUUGAACGUGGAACUCUUCAUUGAGACAAUGCUGAAACAUCAAUCCAUGGGCGAGUCAGUGCCACAUUUUAAUUUCUGCCGAAAUCAAAAUGAAAGAAAAGUUAUCUUACACAUUCAGCAGGCUAUGGCGUGAAAUAGACUUUUAGAAGUGCCAUCCUUAUUUGAUUACUUAUCGUUAAUGCCGACUCGGUGUGCUUUGGUGUGCUUAUCAAUGCACAACCACAAGCACCUUUUCCCCACUCCUAUCAAUAAAAUAAUUGUAUUAGCUAAGUCAUACAAAACUGUUACUGUGUGUGACAUUUAAAAUGCAUUCUGCCAUUACUAAAUGUGUAAUGUGAUAUAUUUUAACAUUACUAUUUUUUUACAACAAAAAAUAUUUGAUUAAUAAAAUAUUUAAUCAGUCAUCUUCCUCAAAUGAAGGGGACGAUGACGCAAUCUUUGCAAGAGGGAGGGAAUCUGAUUUCAUUGGUUCUCAACUCGUGGCUCAGUCAUUUCAUUCAGGAUAAGUGGCGUUACCCGUGAGUUAGCCUGCCCCAGAGCAGGUUAGUUCUGACGGAUUCGUUGCCAUAGAAAUUGACCUGGCUAAAAGGUGAGCCACAUUCGUAUGACCGGUUAUCCCGAGUUGAACUCAGAGUUGACCAUAGUUAGCUCACUAACUACUCAAACUUGCUUCAUGGUAUACCCCUCAGCCAGCUGUGAAACAACACCUGUCAUUCAGCCUGUCCUCCUGUACAAAUAGAGACUCAGUAGAACCAUUGAAGUGGAUACAGAGACAACUAGCUGGAACCCUUUAGGAGCCCCAACAAACACCUUGUGUCUUUAAAAUCAUAUAACUAGCUAUACAUAGUGUUUCAUUAAAUGGCAUUACAUUAGCUGUUCUGGUGAAUAUGCGGUUUGAAACAAAACAUUUUUUUACAGUGAAACUAGCCGUAAGUGGGCUGAGCGGUACAAAACAAGGCUAGCUUCCUGGUUCUAUGGAGUUGAAUCAGAACUCUUUAUUAUCUCCCUCUGUGUUUUUCUAUGGAGUUACUGGAAUUGCCUCUCCUCCUUCCUCUCUAUUAUUGAUGUUCUUCUUUCUUUUCCCAUUAACUCUUUUAGGAACAAUGACCAAACACUCACUCUCUUCAUCUCUCCUUCCACCUCCACCAUCCAACCUUUCAAAUAAUUCAAACAAUGUCAUAACCCUUUUUCAUCCUUCGAUACCAGGUUCAGAAUGUGUAUUUUUCUAUUCCAAAGCAGCAAAGGUUGGUCAGUGAAUGAAGUGACUUUAUCUUUGCUGUCGUCUGGAGGGGGACAUUUUUUUUUUUCUGUUUGCUCCCUGAGCUGCACCUAUAAAUGCCAUUCCGAGAGGUCCACAUUGCGAACUCAGAAUUGUCUUCUGAGUCACAAUAGACCAGAGUUCGCUGUUGAAAGCUCAGCCUAACAUGCCAUAUGUUUUCCCUUCACAAGAACUGUUUUGGUGGAAAGACAAAGGAUUGAAAAAAAGAGCUAGCUGGCAACAUUUAUAUUCGUUAGAUAACAAGAGUCUGACAGAUCGUUGCGAGGUGUCUUUGGGUUGUAAUAAUGUAACAAAUAACUAAUGUUUUAAUAAGAGUUAUGCAACAAAAGCAUAUAAUAGCGAGGGUAGUUAUCGAACAUCAUCAUAUUUGCUGUUGUUAGUUAACCUGUUCUUUAACCAGUACUCACUAAUUGAGCCCAGCAUUGCUAUCUUUAUCCAGUUGCUCAAAAUACUGCAAUAACAUGUCCGUUCAGAGUCCUGUAGUGCUGCCAACUCAUUAUGUAAUCAAUAAAACAGUAUUUCAAAGAUCUAUAAGACUGUGUUUACACUGGCAGCUCAAUUCUGAUCUUUUGCCACUAAUUGGUCUUUUGACCAAUCAGAUCAGAUCUUUUGCCAAUAAUUAAGCAAAAGAUCAUCAUUGGGCUGCCUGUGUAAACACAGCCUAAUACAACAUGUCAAUUGUGUUGUGUUCAUGUCCAACCAACCAUUACCAGUGUUCUGCAUAUUAUUACUUGUCAUACUGUGUGCUACCUGUGGCCUAAACUUUCUCUAACUUCAUAGUAGAUGGAUACAGAUCUUCUCUAACUUCAUAGUAGAUGGAUACAGAUCUUUACGAUGACCUCUCAUCUCCAUUUAACUGGGACUUUAAAGCAAUUGUGGUUUGUUUGUUGUCUAGGUGACUUUUGUAAUUGAAGUUAAUCAAAUAAAACCUUGAAUUACUCCUCAUCACGGCUCUAUGCAACACAGAACUUUGAAUGAGAGAGAAAGCG